AUCUGUUAUCAAUGAAGAUGAAGAGACUUCUAAUAAUAUUCAUAGGUUAUGUUUCCAUAAUACUGUCGACUGUCUUCAAAAUACAACUAAAGUUCUCAUGGAAGUUAAUAAUAAACAAAUAAAUAAUGAUUUACAAACUCAUUCUUAUGAUUCUGAUUCACCCAGAGUUAUGGAAGAUAACUGUAACCUCUACAAUGAAGUUUUGAUUAGUGAAGACAAAAAUGAAGUUAACACUCAUGAUCUAGGACCCUAUCGAGUGACAGACAUCCUGGGCAAGGGAUGCUAUGCUCUGCAGGAGGUCGCUACCGGCAAGAUGCUGCGAACCAAUCAGGCGAUGAUGAAGAGGUUUCGUCACCGGGAGAUCCUACCAGAGGACCCUAGCAAAGAACCUGACAACCUUGACAGCAAUGUGAACCUCACCGUGAGAUAAACUAUGUGAAUCUCAUGAGAUAAACUAUCUCAUCAAAUAUUAAGGGUAUGUUUGCUACUUCUAAUUAAUUAAAUUGAUGAUAAUUCUAUUUUCAGGUGUUUAUCAAUAUUUUGUGUCUUCAAGAUUGGAAUGAGAGUCUAAAUACCGGCUAGACUUGAAACUACAUAUUUAUAUGCUGAUACCAUAUAAAUUUGUGAUUCUAUAAUUAUAUUAUUGCUUCUUAAUUUGGAAAUAUUUGUGUUUAAUGAAUAAUAAUUUUUAAUACUUGCAGCUAAUUGAUUACUUUAUAAGCACUUUCAAAUUGUUUGUUUCCCAUUCAAGUUUAGGAUGGAAUUAGUUAUUGUGUCCAGUUGGAGUUUAACCGCAUAUAUUAUGUUUUAUGUUUAAAUUUUGAUAACCAUAUUUUAUGCAUAUGAUUGGAUUGAAGAAACAAUUAGUGUAGGUGCCCACCCUUUUUUCUAAUUCUAGAAUAGGUAUCUUAGGGACAACUGUUUUAUAGGUUUACUAAAACAAACAUCAUCAAUAUCGAAUUACAUUAAUGAUAGGUAAUUUGUUGCUUCAUGUGAUAAACAAUAAUGAAUAACACUGAUAAUUCUACACUCAAGAUUAAUAAUCAACAUUAUAAAAUAUUAAAAGAUAAGCAUAGCUCAGCUCAUAAAUUGUGUUUGUUGAUAACGAAAUAACUGAUAAUUUGAUAAAGUACUUGGUAGGAUAAAUAUUAAUAUGAAUUAUAAUUGUUUAAUAAUUGAUGUAUAGAUUUUUUUUGUGAAUUACCUGAUUAUGUACUAUGUAUUAAUGAUAAUAUUCUCUUUCACUGCAAGCGCGGCACAGCACGACGUGGUUCCGAUCCCGAAAAGUUCAGAGACUAUUCGAGAUUUGCGCCGCGCUGCGGUCCAAUGCAUGGAGGUCACAAAGUAGGAGGAAUUCUUUCUUCUAUGUGAUGGAGGUACACUUGAUCACUUGAUACGCCGCACUGCGUUGCGCCGCUCCACCUUCGUAGUGCACACUCUACAUAAAGAAACAUUCUGCAAUGGAGAACAAGUCAUCGCUUGUCCCCCUGAUGAAGGAAGUGAGAGGGCAGAGGAGGAUGAGAGGAGGGAGAUGGACUUUGUCCAACUCAUCAAUCAGCCUGCAGCCAAACCCUGGGUGCCACUGAGAGAGUUGAAAGAGGAUGCUCCCUACUCUAUUAUCAGCGUGAGGGAGCAUACCAAUAAACACGGACGAUGAGUUAUUUUGAAAAUUAGCAAUUCAGGAAGCAAAUCUGUGUGUGAGGUAUAUGUACCGCAACAAUUUGCUUCCUGCAUAAGCACGGAAAAAAUUGUAGAGUUCAGCAAAAAUUGUAAAAAUUUUGUAAUGAUAGUAUCACAUAAGUGGGGGAAUUGGACUGAUAUAAAAAUUGUUAAGCAUUAACAAUUUUUAUAUCUAUACAAUUCGUCGACUUAUGUGUUACGAAUUGUAUAGAUGUGUGUGUUAAAGUAGUAUUAGUAGUGAAUAAAUUGUGUACAUAUUUGAUAAAAAAUUGUUUUC